rnacentral:tRNA from 1 species
CAGGGAGACAACACAAUGAUUUCGAUGCCUGAGUACUUUUAUUCUUAGGCCGAAAUCCUGUCACCUUAGGUCGAUCGGUACCUCAGCAUUAAGAGCAGUAAUUGAUGAGUAAUCAUCAAGAGACUGAAGGAGAUGUUCAGUUCCUAAACUUUGUCUAGGUCACACCCCACAAGGGUUGAGUCUUCCUGGGCCAUUAGCUCAGGUGGUUAGAGCGCACCUCUGAUAAGGGUGAGGUCCCUGGUUCAAGUCCAGGAUGGCCCAUUCGGUGUUGGGGGUUUAGCUCAGUUGGUAGAGCGCCUGCUUUGCAAGCAGGAUGUCAGGAGUUCGAGUCUCCUAACCUCCACUGACCGAACUUAAUCUCCAUCUUCUGAACAGUGGAAGGUGAACUCGUAGGUGUGUGAUUUAGAUGUGUCCGCUGGCAUGAACUCAGCUUCCUGUCAUUCCAAAUGAUGAGUGUUUGCUCUGAAUUUGGUUGAUAAGAUGCUGGGCUCGGAUCAAAUGAUCAAGCAAUUGAUGAUUUGAUUUGAAGUUCUAGCAGAACCUUGACAACUGCAUAGGUGAGUCUGGAAAAACCAAAGCAUCUUACAGAUGCAUUGUUUUGAGUCUGAUCUUCUGAAAGGGAGAUUAGAUCUAGAACAAUGAAAAUUCUUUUGAGCAAGAGCCGAGACUCUUGAGCGUUCUUUGAUUGGUGUCGAGCCAAUCAGAGUUUGAUCUUGUUUUUAGCAAUAAAAACUUGAGAAUCUGCUUUCAACGGCGGUAAGCGUUCAGAGGUUAAUU